CAGCACUCCGUAAGGAGUAACUGGACUACACGCUCUUGUGCAGUGGCCUUUGGUGACAUGGUUAUAAAACUUUCAACAUGAACACGUUCCAUAGUUGAUAAUUACAGCUACAACAGCAAACUUUCGAGUUUGUGUGAAGUGGCAGUG
rnacentral:sRNA from 12 species